GUGGGUAUAGUUCAGGGGUAGAGCAUGUGCUUAGCAUACACGAGGUCUUGGGUUCAAUCCCCAGUACCUUUA
rnacentral:tRNA from 1 species